rnacentral:tRNA from 1 species
GGGCAAGUGGCGGAAUGGCAGACGCACAGGUUUCAAAAACCUGCGAGAGUAAUCUCGUGUGGGUUCGACUCCCUCCUUGCCCA